AAGAUUCUACCAAAAAUCUAUUUAUUGCCUCCAUAUUGAAUUUAAACUAAAAUCAAGGUUAAAAUAGUUCAUUUGAUGACCUUGGGCAAAGGAAUAUACUUCGGAUUGGAUUUUAGAUCUAAAUUAAGCUCAUUAAUGGUUAGGCUUGUGACUGAUCAUAGCUUAGAUAAGGGCUUAGAUCAUGAUUGUGCUUAUGAUAAAAUCAAGUUUGACUAAAGCUAUCACUUUCAUUAAAAGACUGAAAGAAAAGAACAAAGUUGUCGAUCAAUCAUACAAUUUAAUAGGUUAAGCACAAAAAUCAAGGAUUGAAUUUUUUUUGUAUUAUUUUUCUUCCAUC
rnacentral:lncRNA from 1 species